AGUGAACGCUGGCGGUAGGCCUAACACAUGCAAGUCGAACGGCAGCACAGUAAGAGCUUGCUCUUACGGGUGGCGAGUGGCGGACGGGUGAGGAAUACAUCGGAAUCUACUUUUUCGUGGGGGAUAACGUAGGGAAACUUACGCUAAUACCGCAUACGACCUACGGGUGAAAGCAGGGGAUCUUCGGACCUUGCGCGAUUGAAUGAGCCGAUGUCGGAUUAGCUAGUUGGCGGGGUAAAGGCCCACCAAGGCGACGAUCCGUAGCUGGUCUGAGAGGAUGAUCAGCCACACUGGAACUGAGACACGGUCCAGACUCCUACGGGAGGCAGCAGUGGGGAAUAUUGGACAAGGGGAGCAAGCCUGAUCCAGCCAUACCGCGUGGGGGAAGAAGGCCUUCGGGUUGUAAAGCCCUUUUGUUGGGAAAGAAAAGCAGCAGGUUAAUACCCCGCUGUUCUGACGGUACCCAAAGAAUAAGCACCGGCUAACUUCGUG
rnacentral:rRNA from 1 species